ACCUUUCCUACUGGUUACUCGACUCUGUUCUUUAUUGGAUGGAGUAGUGUCGCAGGCAUCAUUUAGUGUUAUAUUGCUCUUUAAUGUAGUAAUUGGGUUAAACUGGUUAUGAAAUUAAAGGGAGAACAGUAUAAUAUUAAAUGGGGUUCCAGUUCAUUUACUUUGAGUAAAUUAGAGUGUUCAAAGCAGCCUUUUGGGGCAUUGAAUAGAUUAGCAUGGGAUAAUAGAAUAGGAUUUUUAUCUAUUUAUUUGGUUUUUAGAUUUAAAAUAAUGAUUAAUAGGGAUAGUUGGGGGCACUUGUAUUCAAUAGUCAGAGGUGAAAUUCUAGGAUUUAUUGAAGACAAACUUCAGCGAAAGCAUUUGCCAAGCAUGUUUUCAUUAAUCAAGAACGAAAGUUAGGGGAUCGAAGACGAUUAGACACCGUCGUAGUCUUAACUAUAAACUAUGCCGACCAGGGAUAUGAGGGAUUUUUUAAUUUAUGUUAUUAUCAAAUAACAUAAUCUCUUGUGAACCUUGUGAGAAAUCAUAAGUUUUUGGGUUCUGGGGGGAGUAUGGUCGCAAGGCUGAAACUUAAAGGAAUUGACGGAGGGGCACCACCAGGAGUGGAGCCUGCGGCUUAAUUUGACUCAACACGGGAAAACUUACCAGGUCCAGACAUUUGAAGGAUUGACAGGUUGAUAGCCCUUUCUUGAUUAAAUGGGUGGUGGUGCAUGGCCGUUCUUAGUUGGUGGAGUGAUUUGUCUGGUUAAUUCCGAUAACGAACGAGACCUCUGCCAUUAAAUAGGGAUAAUUAUGUGAAAACAUAGUUAGUUAUAAAUAUUUACCCUUCUUAAUGGGACUUUUGGUUUUUAAUCCAAAGGAAGUUAGAGGCAAUAACAGGUCUGUGAUGCCCUUAGAUGUUCUGGGCCGCACGCGCGCUACACUGAUAACAUCAAAAAGUAUAUUUAUUUAAUCCUUCUCUGGAAAGAGUGGGUAAUCUUUUUUAAAUGUUAUUGUGAUGGGGAUAGAUGAUUGCAAUUAUUCAUCUUGAACGAGGAAUUCCUAGUAAGCAUAAGUCAUCAGCUCAUGUUGAUUACGUCCCUGCCCCUUGUACACACCGCCCGUCGCUGCUACCGAUUGGAUGAUCCGGUGAAAUCUUUGGAUUCUGAUAAAAUACUUGGAGUAAUAUUCAAGUUUUAUUGGGAGAAGUUGAUUAAACCUUAUCAUCU
rnacentral:rRNA from 1 species